UGGGCGAAAGCCUGACGGAGCAACGCCGCGUGGAUGAAGAAGUCCUUCGGGAUGUAAAGUCCUUUCAGCAGGGACGAGUCGAAGACGGUACCUGCAGAAGAAGCAUCGGCUAACUACGUGCCAGCAGCCGCGGUAAUACGUAGGAUGCAAGCGUUGUCCGGAAUUAUUGGGCGUAAAGCGUACGUAGGCGGUUUGUUAAGUCAGGGGUUAAAGACUGAGGCUCAACCUCAGGAGUGCCCUUGAUACUGGCAGGCUGGAGGACGGCAGAGGAAAGUGGAAUUCCCAGUGUAGCGGUGAAAUGCGUAGAUAUUGGGAGGAACACCAGUGGCGAAAGCGACUUUCUGGGCCGUUCCUGACGCUGAGGUACGAAAGCGUGGGGAGCAAACAGGAUUAGAUACCCUGGUAGUCCACGCCGUAAACGAUGGAUACUAGGUGUAGAGGGUAUCGACCCCCUCUGUGCCGUAGCUAACGCGUUAAGUAUCCCGC
rnacentral:rRNA from 1 species